GGCGUCCGGCCACACUGGGACUGAGACACGGCCCAGACUCCUACGGGAGGCAGCAGUGGGGAAUAUUGCGCAAUGGGCGGAAGCCUGACGCAGCGACGCCGCGUGGGGGAUGACGGCCUUCGGGUUGUAAACCUCUUUCGACCUCGACGAAGCCUUUCGGGGUGACGGUAGGGGUGGAAGAAGCACCGGCCAACUACGUGCCAGCAGCCGCGGUAAUACGUAGGGUGCGAGCGUUGUCCGGAAUUAUUGGGCGUAAAGAGCUCGUAAGCGGUGUGUCACGUCGGCCGUGAAAACCUGCAGCUUAACUGUGGGCGUGCGGUCGAUACGGGCAUCACUGGAGUUCGGCAGGGGAGACUGGAAUUCCUGGUGUAGCGGUGAAAUGCGCAGAUAUCAGGAGGAACACCGGUGGCGAAGGCGGGUCUCUGGGCCGAUACUGACGCUGAGGAGCGAAAGCGUGGGGAGCGAACAGGAUUAGAUACCCUGGUAGUCCACGCCGUAAACGGUGGGCACUAGGUGUGGGGGCCAUUCCACGGUCUCUGUGCCGCAGCUAACGCAUUAAGUGCCCCGCCUGGGGAGUACGGCCGCAAGGCUAAAACUCAAAGGAAUUGACG
rnacentral:rRNA from 1 species